CUUUUCUGCCUGUGCUCCAGCAUCUAACAUCCUUCCUCUUUCCUUUGCAGGUCCUUUUCUUCCCUGUUGCUUCCAGAAGCCCUCACCUUUUACUCACGUACAAACACAUUUUUCUUUCCUUUCUUACUGCAAUGCAGCUAAGAUUGUGAGAGCGUGCACCACCAAUGUCAAGGCUCUCCUCUUGCCCUCCGAGAAACAGUACUCCAGAGAGCGCUUCUCCCCCCAACCCCACACCAGCUCAACCACUGCUGGCAUUUCCAAUUUAUAGCCUUUUAAUAGUCCUGGCAUUCUCCAAAGCUUACUGCAUCCAUCUUUAAUACAAAUUAUAUUUCUGUCUCCCAAACCUGAUGUUGACAAAUGUGCAAGAGCAAGUAGCUGGAGGUACCAUUAGAUCUGGCUGAUUUAUUUGGAUACAUCUAAGUAUUGGAAAUAUCCCAAAAUGCUCAUACUUCUCUGUUUGUUGCCUUCUCCCCGAAAAAGUAACUUUACUCUAGAUGCUCUUUUACUUUAUAAGAAAGCAGGUGGCAGACUUCACAGUGUCUAAAAAUCUACUGCCAUCCAGCAUAAAUGAGGAGCCCAGGGCAGCGGUCUGCUCUGCAUCUUAACAUGGGUCUCCUUUUCUCCACAGGCUGGUUAUAUGUCUGGGAUGCUGGUGCCUGUGGGGGUGGGGAUAGCUGGAGCCUUGUUCAUCUUGGGAGCGCUCUACAGUAUUAAGGUGAUGAACCGGCGAAGGAGAAAUGGCUUCAAAACGCACAAAAGAAAGCAGAGAGAGUUCAACAGCAUGCAAGAUCGAGUAAUGCUCUUAGCUGACAGCUCUGAAGAUGAGUUUUGAAUUGGACUGGAAUUUCAUUGGGAUAAUCAACGAUGCUAUUAUUUUAUUUUUUAUUUGGGGGCAAAAAAAAAAAAAGGACAACCGCCUGCCACAUCGCUGCUGUCAGACCAUCAGUCUCAUUAUUUGCUGGAUCGAUUUUUCUUGCACUGAGCAGAAAAGGCAUGCUGUGUACUAAAUGUACUAUACAGUGUUUGUUUUUAUUCUGUAGUGAAUUUUCUACAACCGUGGGCUACCACUCAUAAAAAUGCAGCAUACAUCUUGUUCCAUAGGAGUUGCUAAGUUAGAUAGAGUAAAUAUUUUGUAUUUUUCCACAGUGUACUUUUCCUUGGUUUGGAUUACCUGCCCUAAGUCUAACAAUUAUUGCUACCAAGGCAUGCUUAACUGAAAUAGAAAUCUUAACAAAGACUCACUUGUGAUGACUGCAGUCUACCUACGUGAAGCCAUAGGCUUGUGGGCCAUGGUACACAUUACAUUUGCAUCAAAACUAGCAGCAACUCUAAAUGAAAUCGUUUUCAUCAAGAAAAUCUCUCAGCACAUUAGGAUUAUAUAUAGAUUUGUGUGUAUCUUGCAUUAUGUGUUUCAGUCUUUCAGUUUUACUAUCUUUCUCUUUCUGUUUUAUUCUCAUUGUUGGCAAGGAAGAAAAAUACAUCAUAAAUAACACAUUAAAUUGACUCAGUCUUAAUACAUGCUUGCUCUCUUAAAUAGUGUAAUGGAGUGCAACAGACCUAUCAGUGGAUUCUUAUGUGUGUAUCAUUAAGAGACAUCCUUUUUGUGUACCACUGACUUUGUUGAGAAGAAAUGAGGGAGAAAUCAAGAAGAACAUGAAGGUAGGUAAGCUCCCAGUGCAUUUAGCUCUACUAUUUGGCUCUGUGCUUGCAUGGCCACUGUUCAGAGUUAUUCAAAGCGCUUGUCUACACCUGUGAUCUUGGCCAUGGAAUGAUUGGGCCACCAUUGGUUCUUACUUGGCUUAUUAGAAUAACAGACAUGCUCUGGUAGAUGCAGACUCAGGGGCAGAGUUCUGGUACACAAUGGAGCUUAUGAAAAACCAGCCUCUCUCAGGGCACCCCACUUCAGGGGUGUUGGACUGUGUUAGAUCAUUUCUUAUUCCCUUUAGAAUGUAAUUCCUUGCCUUCUUUUUUGAAUCUGGGUAUUUGGGACUUUCGGUAAGUUGAGUUUUGGGGUAAAGACUUGGCUCAUUUCCAUGGAGGAAUAAACAUUACUAAUAAUACUGUU